GACAUUUAGCAAAUAAUUUAAGUCCAAAAAAAAACACAGAAAAGAACAAACUAAUAAAAAAAAAAAGAAAGAAUGUAAACAAAAGGGCCGAAGCCCGUUAGAAAACAAUCUGCCCAAAAGAUUGAAAAGGGUUUAGGGGAAGGGAACGAAGAAAGGCUUCAGGGGAAAAGAAAACAAAAACAAAAGCAGAGAAAGAAAGAAAGAAAGAAAAAAUGUUUCAGGGGUUCUUAGUACCGAAUACUGUGUUUCACCUUAUCAUCGACAUAGAUUCUUGAACUUCAACAAUAUAAUCCAGAGAUAUCAGUUAGCGCAACAAGGGUUUUGUUAAUUAGAGUACACGAGUUGAUAGUUUUCGGUGAGCCCCGCACUUGUUCGUGUGGGCGAAGAGUUUAUUUAUUAUUAUCGUCUUUUCUUUUGAACUCUUAGAGUCGCUCCAUAGUCAUUUUUAUUAGUGUCGUGAGUAUUCAUUCAUUAUAUAGGACUAGUUACCAGUAUUGCACUUUCUUUCGUAUUUUUGAGAUGGUUUAAGUAUUAUUAUGUUAGUAAGGUUGGUAAUGUUGGUGAAAACUCGUUUUGCUUAGUUCAUGAAGAUUGUGGUUGGUUUAGGUGAAUAUUGGUUGAUUAUACAUUAUUUAUGAGACGGAAAAACUUUGGAUAGUCCUAAAACAGGGGAGACUCUGUCCGAUUUUCUGUAAAAUACUGAUGAGGCUUACUUAGGAGCAUUUGCUCCUAAGCGUCGGUCAUGAUCCUAAAUUGGGUCGUGAUAAUUGGGUCGGUUGUUCUCAUGCUACACUUCUUGUGCACAUACUGGUGCUGAUCGCAAUGGCGUCUAGUAGUUUUCUGCUCGGAUUCAGCCACAGUUGGAGACUUGAGGUAUACCUGCACGGCGUCCGCAGCCCUGAAGUCUCCUUCUUUAUCUAUCCUACUGUUUAUCUAGUUUCAAACAGUUGUACCUUGUUCCAGAUCAUAUAUGUAGUAUUCUAGUUGUUCAUAUACUUGUGACUCCGAAUUUCUAAGAGUAGUUGGCAUCGUGUUACUUUUAUUCA